rnacentral:rRNA from 1 species
UACGAAGGGGGCUAGCGUUGCUCGGAAUUACUGGGCGUAAAGGGCGCGUAGGCGGCGCUGUUAGUCAGGCGUGAAAUUCCUGGGCUCAACCUGGGGACUGCGCUUGAUACGGCAGUGCUUGAGGAUGGAAGAGGCUCGCGGAAUUCCCAGUGUAGAGGUGAAAUUCGUAGAUAUUGGGAAGAACACCGGUGGCGAAGGCGGCGAGCUGGUCCAUUACUGACGCUGAGGCGCGACAGCGUGGGGAGCAACAGG